rnacentral:lncRNA from 1 species
GGAAAAGAAAGAAAUACAAAAAAGAAAAGAAACCCCCCUCCCCGUAUUGGGCCAACAGCGCUGGCAGCCCAACACAGUCUGCUGCGACCGCGCCCUGGCCGACCAGCUCCUGUCCUUUCUCUCACAGCCGUGUGGGCCCAUGUGGUCGGUCUUCUUCCUCGUUGGAUUGCGUUAGCAAACGGCUGAGCGAAAAUUGAGGGACUGCCCAACCAAACGGACUCCGCUGGUCUUGCAUUGAACCCGCCUGGAUCCUCGUGUCCUUAGGAUAUAUAAGCAGACCUAGGUAUUCUUCCCUGAACAGCUCAAACUACCACGAACCUGGGGUGAAGAUUCAAGCUGCCAGGGGGAUUUCGCGGGUUCACCCCGUCGGGGUCUCUGCGCCAGGUCUUGGUGCUUGGGUGCCGUUCGUCUGCCGGGGGGUAAGCUUCCUGCCUGUGCCACACGGUCGGUCUGCGGUCGGAGUGGGCCACGAACGUCGCAGGCAUUAGCCUCGGCUCUACCGCCGCAUACGAGGCCGCUUCUCCAGUUUUCGCUUGGGUGUUGAUGUCGUCGCCAACAGUGGUGCAUCUUCGCAUGAAGAUAGUGCAAUGUGGGCAGACUCGACCAUUGUUCCAGUCGCGGAUGCGUCUGGGGCACUGAUCCAGUUUGCUCAUCGGAACAUGGCGGUGUGGGUCGCGGGGGUCCAUCUGUGUGCCCGGAAAUUCUCACCGGUGCAUAGCCACCGCCGCUGGUUGCGCUUGACUGUCGCCAGACCAUCACGCUGCAGGGUCCACGGUGAGAAUCCCCUCAAACAAUUCCCAUGCAUAUCUAGGUUGUGUAGCGCGGAUCGAAUUAAGGAGCAGGGCCCUAGGGCGCCGACUUGGCCAACACCGGCAGGCCCGCCGCCGUGGGGGGAAAACCUGUGCGCCACCACGCUCGGCUUGGCUGGGGGAGGAAGAUUGGCUCCCUGUCGUUCGAUCGUGAACGGACGGUGGAGAUUAGCCAUGGGAAUACCUAUUGGGGGGAAUAAACCAGAGCCAUAGAUCUAGAUCCAACGGUUGUGGGCCUAUAUCGGUUCCAAGCCGCCCCGAUGUGAUCUGGACCCUCCAUCUCUAAUCGGGCAGUCCAGAUCGCGUACCCCUUCGUUGUCUAAUCUAGUCCCUGGAUCCAAGAUCGGACGGCUCUGAAUCAACGAUACCCCUUCACCCUGGCUUUCUUUCUAAAGAGCCCCUCUGUUUUCCUAGAUUCAACCCGCAGUCCACUCGGGUGUUCCCCUGAGUCUGGGGAAUUCUUACCCGAGACCCCCUGCACUUCCCAGAAAUCUGCGCCCAGUCCAGAUAAUUAAUAAAACCAGGAAAAUCAUUUAGAAAAUAGAUUUUAGUACAUAUUUAAAUGCAGAAACUUGUUUAAUUUGUAGAAAACGCAUAUGAACUCCGAAUUAACCCAUUCCAGUUUCUAUAAUUUUGUAAUAUUAUUGUUGAUCAUUUUGUGUCACAGUUUUAACAUGAAAGCCAUAUUAAAAUUGAUAUACUAAUUAAUCUUGUGCAAAACAUAUAGAAUCGUUGGAAAUCCAUAACUUAAAAUCUACAACUCCAAAAUUAAUAAUUCUUUUUCCUGUGAUCUUAUUUUAAUAUGUAGAUUAUUAAUAUGUAUUUUGCAUAUAUGUUUGUUGUGAUGUUAAUUUUGCCUAUACACUGUUUGUUUGUAUUGCUACGACUAGCAGUGAGGUCACGAGAAUCUGAAGAUCAUCCUGGUACCUGGAAUCUCAAGUCCCAGGCAAGUUGUGCCCUUGAUCACUUCUUUUUACCUACUCAUGUUCUGAUUAAUCAUAAUGAUCUGCAUAGGUUAAUUUUGAUGGGACCCGAUAGGUUACCCUAGUUUGUCUAUCUUUAUACCUUGUUUACCACUGAACUUUUUGGGUAGUACUUGCUAGUGCUUUAUGUGGUUUUGGGUAUGAAGAUACAUUAUUCAUGAUCACACUUUUAUUAUCUGUUUAUUAUCACUGUUCAUGAUAAGAUCAUUAUGUUAAUUGGAACAUGGAGAACCACCCGGGAAAACAGUGCUACCACAAGGGUUUAAUGGGACGCCCUUGGCCGAUUAAUUAGGAAAGCUAGUGGAAGACUACCUUACCCGAAAGGGGCAAGGGCAGUAGGGGAGUGGUCAGUGUAGGGAGGCCCUCGGGAGGAUUUUGCUGUGAUGGCGGUCCUGCAAGGGAUUCCUGGGAAGGCCCUCGGGAGGAUUUUGCUGUGAUGGCGGUCCUGCAAGGGAUUCCUGGGGAGGCCCUCGGGAGGAUUUUGCUGUGAUGGCGGUCCUGCAAGGGAUUCCUGCAUUGGAGCUUCCUAUAAACUGUAGCGGGUUUUCUGAAGCUAGUGGAACUUUGUAAAGGCCUCGUAGUGUUACCCUGCCUCGCCUCCUCGGUAGAGGUGUAUGGGAAGUCGCGAUCCCUUGGCAGAUGGGUAACAUGACUUGUGGGUAAAGAUGCGCAACCUCUGCAGAGUGUAAAACUGGUAUACUAGCCGUGCUCACGGUCAUGAGCAGCUCGGACACUCACAUGAUUAAAUUAUGGAAUUAAACUCAAUUUGUCAUAUGCAUUGCAUCGCAGGUGAGGUUGUACAGGUGAUGUUGUUACUUUUGUUCUACUACUUAAUUGGGCUGGUAUUUACUUAUACUUAGUAAUUGCUAAUAAAAUUUUGACCAACUUUAAAAGCAAUGCUCAGCUCUAACCAUCCUCUUUGGUAAGCCUUACACUUCACGUGAGCUCCCACCUUUGGUGAGUUCAUGCACAUUAUUCCCCACAACUUGUUGAGCGAUGAACAUAUGUGAGCUCACUCUUGCUGUCUCACACCCCCCCCCCCCACAGGUCAAGAGCAGGUACCACAGGAUGAGGCGCGUGGAGGAUGCUGUGAUGAGUUCGUGAGUGGUCUAGGUCGUCGUCUCCCAGUCAACUUUGGGUUGCUGGACCGUUGUCUCCUUAUAAUGUAAUUAUUUAUUUUGUAUAGAACUCCUGUUAUAUAUAAAGAUGUGACAUUCGAUCCUGUGCCACUUUACAUCAUAUGUGUGAGACUUGGUCCCAGCAUACCUGGUGUUUAUGUUAGCGCCCGGGUUUUGGACCCCUAAAAUCCGGGUGUUACAGAAGUGGUAUCAGAGGAAUGUUGACCGUAGGACGAAACCUAGAUAGAACUGGAUAACCAUUCUUUACUUACCUUUGCUACUCUAAUCUUUUCUAAACUUAUCUUAAUCCUUUCUCAUCUAUUUCCGCUAUACUCUGAUCAUUCUUACCUUUUUCUUCUAAAGACAAAUGUGGAUUUCACACUUUGAAAUCCUGUGCCUAAAGUGACCUUUAGGAAUAGGAGACCUAUUCAUAGGAACCACAACAAAACUAUUUUUUUAUAAAUAUUUGUAUGCUUGAAUGUUUGUUCUUAUGAUACUUGUCUGAUUUGGAUUUUUGAUUGAGUGUGAUGAGUUGUGGAGUAAUGUCCACAAUUGCAUCUGCAUAUACUUAGGCAUAUAUAUAACUAAUCAAACUUAAAUUGUCCCUCAUUAAAAAAAUGUAUCUAGCUUAUCCAUCUUAUCUUAAAAGACUCUCUCUUGUCUCGAUAGAUCCAUCUUAUCUUACAAGAUUCUAUCUUAUCCUAAUAGGUUCAUCUUAUCCCAACCACUUUACUUAUCUCAUCCUAAAGUAACAACCAUGAUCUAAUUAAGGAGAUCUUGUCUAGUCUAUCUAGUCAUAACAAUCUAACCUAGAUCUGAUCCAACCUAGUAGGUUAAUCUAACCUAACGAAGUCUAACCUUAAGUUGAGCUAACCUAAGGACAGUCACAUAACAAGUUAACACUAGUGAAAUAAAUUGGGUCCUACUCCUAUAAAUCUUGUUCUCUCCUCAUGUACUUAAACCUAAAAUUAGUGCAUUAGACCAACUCAACCGUGAACAUAAGAGCUAACCCAACCAAUAGUGUCAUGAUGGAUUACAUAAUCUGUCUAUUCCCACCUAACAUCAAAUGAACUUUAGACCUACAUCAUGUAGUCAAUCUCAUCCAUAUAUAUCUAUCUUAACCAUAUUCCCCAACCUCGAUGAUAUACACUACCCUCGAAUCAAUGAGACCAAGACCGGAGAAGAAAAUAUCAACACCGACAAGGACGAAUAUAACAGUCAAAGCGAAUCUCGAGAUGAAUCAAGACUUAAACAUUUUAGAUGAAGUCUUUUCCUUGCCAUAAUCUUUCCUACCUCAACCUGUCCAACUUAUAUCCUACAUAAUAAAUUAGCUGAAUACCUAUGCUCUCCUAAUCACCCACUACUGAAAAAAAUGAUAAUUUGGAUUUUGAACCAAUUAUAGAUUAAAAGCUGAAUUACAAACCAAUCCUUCUGUAUCCCUUUUUCUACAAAUCUCGAGGACGAGAUUUCUGUUAAGGGGGUAGGAUUUGUAGCACCUAAAAUCUCAUUUUGAAAAAAAUUUGAAAAAAAUAAAUAAAUUAAUAAAUAAAAUAAUAGUAAAUAAACCCUCUAAAGGUUUCUGGUGCUAGAAAAUCCUCCAAUAAAAAUUUUUUCUUACAUGUGGGACAACACCACAUAACAUAAUUAUGUUUCCAAUAAAGAUUUAAAAUAAUCUCCAUAUAAAUUUGUUACUUUAUUGAAAUAUAUUUAUAACUAUUCACUAAAGAAAAGUACAAACUAGAAAUGAUAUUUUUCAAAUACCUAUUCUCUAUUUUAGUGUGUAUGAGCUUUAUAUUUGAAAGCAUUUGUCUAAAUGGGGAAAUUAAUUAAUUAAUAAGUUAUUGUCACCUUCAUAUUGGAGUUUUGACUUUAAAUUUAUUUUGAAUUUUAAACCUAAAAUCUGAGUUUGAAUUUGGAAUACCUUGUAACAAGGUUUUCUUUUGUGAAAGCAUUUCUUAAUAGGAUUAAUAGAUAAAUAAAUAGAUGAACAAAAUGUUGAUGCAUCUCAUGCUGGAAUUUUCGCCUCUGCAUUUCAUUUUAAAAUUUGAGCUUUGACUUGAAUUUGAGUUUGUAAAUGCAAAAGAAAAUAGGAAAAGAAAGAAAUACAAAAAAGAAAAGAAACCCCCCUCCCCGUAUUGGGCCAACAGCGCUGGCAGCCCAACACAGUCUGCUGCGACCGCGCCCUGGCCGACCAGCUCCUGUCCUUUCUCUCACAGCCGUGUGGGCCCAUGUGGUCGGUCUUCUUCCUCGUUGGAUUGCGUUAGCAAACGGCUGAGCGAAAAUUGAGGGACUGCCCAACCAAACGGACUCCGCUGGUCUUGCAUUGAACCCGCCUGGAUCCUCGUGUCCUUAGGAUAUAUAAGCAGACCUAGGUAUUCUUCCCUGAACAGCUCAAACUACCACGAACCUGGGGUGAAGAUUCAAGCUGCCAGGGGGAUUUCGCGGGUUCACCCCGUCGGGGUCUCUGCGCCAGGUCUUGGUGCUUGGGUGCCGUUCGUCUGCCGGGGGGUAAGCUUCCUGCCUGUGCCACACGGUCGGUCUGCGGUCGGAGUGGGCCACGAACGUCGCAGGCAUUAGCCUCGGCUCUACCGCCGCAUACGAGGCCGCUUCUCCAGUUUUCGCUUGGGUGUUGAUGUCGUCGCCAACAGUGGUGCAUCUUCGCAUGAAGAUAGUGCAAUGUGGGCAGACUCGACCAUUGUUCCAGUCGCGGAUGCGUCUGGGGCACUGAUCCAGUUUGCUCAUCGGAACAUGGCGGUGUGGGUCGCGGGGGUCCAUCUGUGUGCCCGGAAAUUCUCACCGGUGCAUAGCCACCGCCGCUGGUUGCGCUUGACUGUCGCCAGACCAUCACGCUGCAGGGUCCACGGUGAGAAUCCCCUCAAACAAUUCCCAUGCAUAUCUAGGUUGUGUAGCGCGGAUCGAAUUAAGGAGCAGGGCCCUAGGGCGCCGACUUGGCCAACACCGGCAGGCCCGCCGCCGUGGGGGGAAAACCUGUGCGCCACCACGCUCGGCUUGGCUGGGGGAGGAAGAUUGGCUCCCUGUCGUUCGAUCGUGAACGGACGGUGGAGAUUAGCCAUGGGAAUACCUAUUGGGGGGAAUAAACCAGAGCCAUAGAUCUAGAUCCAACGGUUGUGGGCCUAUAUCGGUUCCAAGCCGCCCCGAUGUGAUCUGGACCCUCCAUCUCUAAUCGGGCAGUCCAGAUCGCGUACCCCUUCGUUGUCUAAUCUAGUCCCUGGAUCCAAGAUCGGACGGCUCUGAAUCAACGAUACCCCUUCACCCUGGCUUUCUUUCUAAAGAGCCCCUCUGUUUUCCUAGAUUCAACCCGCAGUCCACUCGGGUGUUCCCCUGAGUCUGGGGAAUUCUUACCCGAGACCCCCUGCACUUCCCAGAAAUCUGCGCCCAGUCCAGAUAAUUAAUAAAACCAGGAAAAUCAUUUAGAAAAUAGAUUUUAGUACAUAUUUAAAUGCAGAAACUUGUUUAAUUUGUAGAAAACGCAUAUGAACUCCGAAUUAACCCAUUCCAGUUUCUAUAAUUUUGUAAUAUUAUUGUUGAUCAUUUUGUGUCACAGUUUUAACAUGAAAGCCAUAUUAAAAUUGAUAUACUAAUUAAUCUUGUGCAAAACAUAUAGAAUCGUUGGAAAUCCAUAACUUAAAAUCUACAACUCCAAAAUUAAUAAUUCUUUUUCCUGUGAUCUUAUUUUAAUAUGUAGAUUAUUAAUAUGUAUUUUGCAUAUAUGUUUGUUGUGAUGUUAAUUUUGCCUAUACACUGUUUGUUUGUAUUGCUACGACUAGCAGUGAGGUCACGAGAAUCUGAAGAUCAUCCUGGUACCUGGAAUCUCAAGUCCCAGGCAAGUUGUGCCCUUGAUCACUUCUUUUUACCUACUCAUGUUCUGAUUAAUCAUAAUGAUCUGCAUAGGUUAAUUUUGAUGGGACCCAAUAGGUUACCCUAGUUUGUCUAUCUUUAUACCUUGUUUACCACUGAACUUUUUGGGUAGUACUUGCUAGUGCUUUAUGUGGUUUUGGGUAUGAAGAUACAUUAUUCAUGAUCACACUUUUAUUAUCUGUUUAUUAUCACUGUUCAUGAUAAGAUCAUUAUGUUAAUUGGAACAUGGAGAACCACCCGGGAAAACAGUGCUACCACAAGGGUUUAAUGGGACGCCCUUGGCCGAUUAAUUAGGAAAGCUAGUGGAAGACUACCUUACCCGAAAGGGGCAAGGGCAGUAGGGGAGUGGUCAGUGUAGGGAGGCCCUCGGGAGGAUUUUGCUGUGAUGGCGGUCCUGCAAGGGAUUCCUGGGAAGGCCCUCGGGAGGAUUUUGCUGUGAUGGCGGUCCUGCAAGGGAUUCCUGGGGAGGCCCUCGGGAGGAUUUUGCUGUGAUGGCGGUCCUGCAAGGGAUUCCUGCAUUGGAGCUUCCUAUAAACUGUAGCGGGUUUUCUGAAGCUAGUGGAACUUUGUAAAGGCCUCGUAGUGUUACCCUGCCUCGCCUCCUCGGUAGAGGUGUAUGGGAAGUCGCGAUCCCUUGGCAGAUGGGUAACAUGACUUGUGGGUAAAGAUGUGCAACCUCUGCAGAGUGUAAAACUGGUAUACUAGCCGUGCUCACGGUCAUGAGCAGCUCGGACACUCACAUGAUUAAAUUAUGGAAUUAAACUCAAUUUGUCAUAUGCAUUGCAUCGCAGGUGAGGUUGUACAGGUGAUGUUGUUACUUUUGUUCUACUACUUAAUUGGGCUGGUAUUUACUUAUACUUAGUAAUUGCUAAUAAAAUUUUGACCAACUUUAAAAGCAAUGCUCAGCUCUAACCAUCCUCUUUGGUAAGCCUUACACUUCACGUGAGCUCCCACCUUUGGCGAGUUCAUGCACAUUAUUCCCCACAACUUGUUGAGCGAUGAACAUAUGUGAGCUCACUCUUGCUGUCUCACACCCCCCCCCCACAGGUCAAGAGCAGGUACCACAGGAUGAGGCGCGUGGAGGAUGCCGUGAUGAGUUCGUGAGUGGUCUAGGUCGUCGUCUCCCAGUCAACUUUGGGUUGCUGGACCGUUGUCUCCUUAUAAUGUAAUUAUUUAUUUUGUAUAGAACUCCU